UGAGCUAUAGUGGCGAGCAGA
rnacentral:misc_RNA from 1 species